UACAUAUUCAUGCUAAGGCUCAAGCAUCGCCCUAGCAAACAUAAAUUAGUUACGAACAAUCAUAAAACAAAAUAUUAUCAAAACCAUGGAUAGAAAACACCUUGAAAAUAAACUUGAAUUGUCGAAAGCAAUUCUCCAACUAGUGCGUGUGUUCUCCCUAGGGCUGGCCAAAAAGGCUUAUUUAUACUAUUCUAAAUAAAAUCCUUCUAGUAAAAGGUCUUAGAAUAAGACUAGGAAACUAAAUAAAUUGAAAUAAAAUAAGAAACAUAAUCUUAAAUUGACUUGAUAAAUUCGCCUAGAAAUUUAUAUAGCCUCGUUUUGGAUCCAAAUCAGCUUCAAAACUGACCCAAUAUAGCUGGAUUUAAAGCUUGGACUAUUCUGAACACUUUUCCAGAAGGCCACGAACCCAUCUGGGUUCAUCUUGGGCUCCAAAAUCACAGUUUAAGCCCAGAAACGUCACUUUCCAACAACUCGUACUGCUCCUUUAUUAAAUCAUUAGAAAAUAACCGUUUGGUAGAAAAAUCCAAAAUUUUGAUAUGAAUAAACCAAGAGACACACGAACGUCUGCCAAUUCGAAUCAAUCCAAAAUUCGUCAGUUUCAUCAUAUUUUUCUCCAGAGGAAGUCGAAUGUUUUUUGAAAAUAUAAAGCAAAAUAUCAAAAUUCUACCAAAAUAAUUACCAAAUUAUACUAAGAGUAGGGUAAAAUAUAUAAUAUAAUAUUGACUCAUCAAUCUCUCUCGUUCUCCAGGUCGCGUUCUCUCGACUCGGCAACCUUCCUCUGGUUGCAGCUGUAUAUUCAAUAUGAACACCUCUGAUGAUGAUGAUGAUGAGGAGGAUUUGAAGGAUAGACUAAUUAUAUGUGUUGUAGCGAGAGUUGUUAAAACAUAUUAUUUAUUUAAAAUAUGUCACAAAACUCCGUGUAUGAAUUUUUCCCAAACAUGUAAUAUUUGAUUAAUAGAAGUACUACAAGGGAAUUACAUGCAA